GACGAACGCUGGCGGCGUGCUUAACACAUGCAAGUCGAACGGAAAGGCCCUGCUUUUGUGGGGUGCUCGAGUGGCGAACGGGUGAGUAACACGUGAGUAACCUGCCCUUGACUUUGGGAUAACUUCAGGAAACUGGGGCUAAUACCGGAUAUGAGCUCCUGCUGCAUGGUGGGGGUUGGAAAGUUUCGGCGGUUGGGGAUGGACGCGCGGCUUAUCAGCUUGUUGGUGGGGUAGUGGCUUACCAAGGCUUUGACGGGUAGCCGGCCUGAGAGGGUGACCGGCCACAUUGGGACUGAGAUACGGCCCAGACUCCUACGGGAGGCAGCAGUGGGGAAUAUUGCACGAUGGGCGGAAGCCUGAUGCAGCAACGCCGCGUGCGGGAUGACGGCCUUCGGGUUGUAAACCGCUUUCGCCUGUGACGAAGUGUGAGUGACGGUAAUGGGUAAAGAAGCACCGGCUAACUACGUG
rnacentral:rRNA from 1 species